GGUGCGGGCCGCGCAGCCGGGGCCUGGACGGCGGGCCCUGGGCGGCCAGUCCUGGGUCCGGCCCGAAACGUCUAUCUCCCCGCGAAGGCCCGAGGGCGGGCGCGAGAUCGCGGGGAGUCGGGGAGGGGGCGGGAUCAGGUUGGGCCGGAGACCAGCUAAACCCGGCCUGUGUCUCCCUCGUGCUCGCCGGCCCCACGCGCGGCCCGCCUGCUCGGCAGGUGAGGGGGCGCCGAGGCGGGCCCCGCGGGGCUUGGUCGCGCAGCUCCUCUGCGCUGGGGCGAAGCGUCUGUUCUCACUGCCACGGGCCACAGCUUGUGAAACCAGAGGGGCCUGACAACGCCUUUGGUGCCUGGCCAGGAGCGGGGCUCCUGCCCCUGGAGGAACGCCUCUGAGUGUCCCCCUGGCUGGUCGUGGAAGAGAAGCCACUGGACCCUUUGGGGAUUAGAUACAGAAGCCUGGGAUUGAGCGGGAGUGAAUGGUGAUCAUGGCUAAACUAUCUGGGUUCUGAACUGCUUUUCUUCAGUAAAAUGCUCGUUUUUGGUCACCUAAUUCAUUGAUUCUUCACUUUCCAACCAAAUCUACUCUCUCCUGCUUGGCAUCCAGGAGGCCCAUGGCCAUCAUCAGUGGAGCUUCACCAGCGGGGCGUCAGUUGCGGGCUGAGACCAAGCAGAGAGGCUGGGGCCUUUCUUCCCUCCUCUGCAGCCUGGCCUGGCAGUGUCUGUGUCCUUCUGUGACCACAGUGCUUGCCCAGCUUUCUUUUCUGUUGGAUCAAUUCGUGUCAGGCUCCGAAUGAGUGGGUAACAGUUGUCACCCCAUGUUUCCUACCCGAAUGGGUGACAGUUGUCACCCCCUGCUUCCUACAGCCAGGCAGCGGUGUCAGCUGGGCCCUGGGGCACAGCACCUCUGGUGGGUCGGGGAAGCAUGAUCACGCUGCAGCAGGUGGGCCUGUCGCCGUGCGGUCUUCCACAUCUCCUCCCAGGACCACCUUCUGCUUCUUGCCAGGACCCUGGCCGCUGGAGCCAGACAUUGACUGGCCUACCACCUUGCAAACGGUGACAUUUGCAGGGGGCAGGUAGAAGGACACAGGCAGAGAUCAUACAAGGCCACAGGAUAAAGGCUGUGUGCCUUUCAGGAACGCCUGUUUUGUUCAGUGAUCAAUGCUGAUUUCAUCUUUUAGUAAACACUGUGGUGGCCACAGCCAUGCCCUCUUUGUCCUUGCUGGCAGAAACCCACCUUGGUGCAGGUAGCGUGGCUAGGGGUAAACUGGUCCAUGUAAGCUAAUCUCAGUAACUCCAUGCCUCCUCUUGUGAUUGGUUUAAAACGAGUUUAAGCCAGUGAAUCCUGCUGUUGGGAAAAGUCUCCUCACUCGUAAAAAGGCACAUAAAGAGGACAUGCUCGUCGUUUCCUGCUGGAUGUUGUGUGUCUGGAUGUGAUGUCUGGCGCUUUGCAGCCUUCUUGCAUCCGUGAUGUGACAGGAACAGCGUCACAGCGGGGAUGGCGGCGUGGAUAGAUGGGAAGAGCAUGGGUUCUUGGUGACACCACUGGGCCACUACCCUAACUUGGAUUUCAUGUCUUGAGAGAUAAUAAAUAUCCUUAUUGAGUUGGA